rnacentral:lncRNA from 1 species
UAACUGAAACCUUCUUAGCUUGCUCCCAUGCCUAGAAAUGAUUAGAAGCAGCAAGACUGAGAAGGGAGCCGAGGGGUCACUAAAGGAACUGUCUUAAGCACUGGGGACACAGAUGCAAGAAAGUAAGACUGUCCUGGGGGAACUUAUAUUCUGAUGGAAGAAGAAAACAGAACCUGAUGGAGCAAGAGAAAAUGAAAAGAGGAUUACCUGUGUGUGUGUGAAAUAUUAACAGACAAACCUCAUUUAGUAAAACAAAGGUUAAAAAGAGAUGAGUUUAGAAACCAUGUUAAAAAUGGAACUAAAAAUUGGAAUAAGCUUAAUAAUCUCUCUCCUGGUUUUCAAUUUCUGCCCAAGGUUUUAAUGAAAUCUGCUACCGGUGAGAGAAAUUGACUAGUAAUAAUUGUUGGGUGAUAAUAAUCCUGCAGCUUGGAAAUAGACGAGAGGAAAAGUGUCUCUGUUAAUGUUUAGGUCUUUGAAAUGUCAGAUAGCACAGAAGGAGGAACAAAAAGCAACUCUAGCUUAGGGACGCCCAGGCAUAGAAGUGUCUGAACAGUCACUAUCACUCCCUAAAUGGCCUGGGGUAGGGACCAAUACUGCCCUCCCUUCUCAGAUGAAUGGGGAUGGGGCCCAUUUCUGGCUG